UACGGAGGGUGCAAGCGUUAAUCGGAAUUACUGGGCGUAAAGCGCGCGUAGGCGGUCUGGUCAGUCGGAUGUGAAAGCCCUGGGCUUAACCUAGGAAUUGCAUUCGAUACUGCUCGACUAGAGUAUGGGAGAGGGAAGUGGAAUUUCCGGUGUAGCGGUGAAAUGCGUAGAUAUCGGAAGGAACACCAGUGGCGAAGGCGACUUCCUGGCCCAAUACUGACGCUCAGGUGCGAAAGCGUGGGUAGCAAACAGG
rnacentral:rRNA from 1 species